UGAAGAUAAGGAGAUGGUGUUCCUCCUUUUGAAGAAACCGCAGCCGUUUAGCGCUGCUGAUGACGCCUACAGGACC
rnacentral:ncRNA from 20 species